GUUGCGGUGGCCGAGUGGUUAAGGCGUUGGACUUAAAAUCCAAUGGGAUCUUCCCGCGCAGGUUCGAAUCCUGCUCGCAACG
rnacentral:tRNA from 2 species